CCAGGGAGGUCGGCAACGACCACCCAGGGCCGGAAAGUUGGUCAAACUCGGUCAUUUAGAGGAAGUAAAAGUCGUAACAAGGUCUCCGUAGGUGAACCUGCGGAGGGAUCAUU
rnacentral:rRNA from 1 species